CUCGCGUUCUGCUUUCAUUAGCUCAUUAGCUAUUUAUAGCAUCAGCUCCCUCCAGAUGUGUCUCCGCAUUAAACAACCUCUGCAGGCCCCUGUUGUUCGCGCUGAACCGGGACAGCGUUCUGGUUCCGCACACAAUCCCGAACCGGAAGCUUGAACCGAGAAGUCGCUUCUCCGGGUGAACGCGAACGCCGCGUGACGUAACACAAAAGGUGCGGUCCCCGGCGCGGGCGCGGCGGUCGCGUGACGCAGCAAGGUCACGUGUUCCAGGUGUGGUCCGCGGCCGGUUUUCUCUGUGCGUGUGUAUGUAUGUGUGUGUGUGCGCGCGCGUGAGUCUCAUUUGUUUGGUAGCGCGUCCAGUCACGGAGAGGAUCCCCGAUCAUGUCUUUCGACCUGUCUGCAGCUGUUGGUGGGAGUGAAGAUGUGGUGAAGAAGGAAGAAGCUCAGAAGGAUGAGAUCUCAUGGCCCUGGAACAAGAACAAGGAUAAGGAGGGCAGCAAGGGAAAGUCCGGCAAAGACGACAAAAAGCACGAAUCUGGCAAGGACAAGUCCGACAAGAAGCACGAAUCUGGCAAGGACAAGUCCGACAAGAAGCACGAAUCUGGCAAGGACAAGUCCGACAAGAAGCACGAAUCUGGGAAGGACAAGUCCGACAAGAAGCACGAAUCUGGGAAGGACAAGUCCGACCAAAAGCACAAGUCAAAGGACGGGGAACACAAGAAGAAAAGGGACAAAGGUGAAGGAAACCAAUCUGGCUCUUCCUCAUCGUCGUCCUCCAGCAGUGACGAGGCUCCUCCAGAACCUUUUGAACCGCUAAAAAGCGAUAAAUUGCAGCCCAACCGGUGAGAUACCGGCCGCACCUCGGGGGCCAAAGGUCAAUGUGCCUGGAACAAGGUCUGACACGAGGCUGGUGGAACAGGUCCGGCCCUCAGCACCAGUUCUGAAUCCGGAGUGAUGCUUCCAGCGCCGAUGGUCUCUUCUAACCUCGUCUGUGAAGCAAAGUGACUGUGUGCAGUUGUACCGACGUUCCUUCCUCUUGUUGAUGUAUAAAUAAACCUGAUUGAACGCUGCUUCUCGCC
ensembl:lncRNA